AUUGAACGCUGGCGGCAUGCUUUACACAUGCAAGUCGAACGGUAACAGGCCGCAAGGUGCUGACGAGUGGCGAACGGGUGAGUAAUGCAUCGGAACGUGCCCAGUCGUGGGGGAUAACUACUCGAAAGAGUAGCUAAUACCGCAUACGAUCUAUGGAUGAAAGCGGGGGACCGUAAGGCCUCGCGCGAUUGGAGCGGCCGAUGUCAGAUUAGGUAGUUGGUGGGGUAAAGGCUCACCAAGCCAACGAUCUGUAGCUGGUCUGAGAGGACGACCAGCCACACUGGGACUGAGACACGGCCCAGACCCCUAGGGGAGGCAGCGGUGGGGAAUUUGGGAAAAUGGGCGCAAGCCUGAUCCAGCAAGGCCGGGGGCAGGAAGAAGGCCUUCGGGUUGUAAACUUUUUUUGUACGGAACGAAACGGCUCUGGUUAAUACCCGGGGCUAAUGGCGGUACCGAAAAAAAAAGCCCCGGCUAACUACGU
rnacentral:rRNA from 1 species